rnacentral:misc_RNA from 1 species
AUAAAGCCAAGGCAUAAAAGGAUUGUGAAGAAGGGGCUGAAAUGUUCACUUUCAUGGCUUCUUAAUUGUUCUGAUGAGAAGUUUGAAGAAAGAAUGGACUAUGAGACCAUUGACAUGGAGGAGAUGGAAAUGCCAUCAUUUGACAUGAAUACUUUUAUGGAGCCGAGGAGUGAUGGGUCUGAUUUUGACUAUGAUGAGGACAGUGAAGAUGCGCGUGUAUAGAACAAUGAAUCAACUUUUGGCAAUGGUCUGCCAUGGAGAAUCUUGGCUUUGUGAAAAUGGCUCUUCAUGUGAAGUAGUUGUUAACUUUAGAGCUGGUCUUUGGUGGAAUGAACAUUGAGAGUACAUGGGCUGCUUUUGGUGGGCAUUCAGGUUUUGUAAGUAGAUGUGAAGCAAUUGAGAUAGGCACAAUAACAUUAAUCCAAGAUGUUUCCCUCUUUUCUGUAUUAAUAUCAUUUUCCUCCAUGAACGCUUGGUUCCCCUAUGUAAAGAAAAGAAGCAUUUUUCCAACUUGUAAUCCAAAAUUUUGAAGAUUCCUUUACUAUUGUUGGCCUUUAUGCCAUGUUGGUGUGCUUUAUUUAGUGGAAUCAGUUCGUAGGGAUGCUUUCAUAA